rnacentral:lncRNA from 1 species
GUGCGUCCAUCUUGCGCUUCAUCAUUUUAUAAAAUUGAAUAAGGAAAAAAGCUAUUCGAAGUCCUCAAUUCAAGCAACAGUAAAGGUCUCCAAUGACGAAGGAAUCAAGGGAUGUCUCCAUUACAAGCAGCAAAGUUGGAUUCUUGCAAACCUUAAAACAAGAAACAUAGAUUAGAUGCCCCAACGACAAGAAGUGUUAAAAGUCAUUAAUACUUGUGAAGUUAGAACCCUUCAAUCCUUGACUCGUCUCCACGUCGCGUUGAUUUGUCGUGGAUCUCCUUUGAGCUUUAUCGUCACGCAUAAGAAGAGACAAAACCAGGCGAGCCAAAAGAGAAGGAAAGCUGUUACUAGAUAAAAUCCUGCCCCGUUAUUGACUGCGGGAAUUUGGAGUGUAAACGUAACCGAGUAAGAAAAGCAGAGAAACAUUAUAGGCAAAACGGCGGAACUGGCGAAAUGGCGGUCCUUUAGUGUUAUAGAGCAAGCCCCGAUUAUGGCAAUCGAGACGAAAAAAGCCAUGCUGUUCCACGCCGUGUAUACAGAUAGUUCAUCACCACUUAGGAUAAGGUCUCCGGCUUGAUGUGGUUUUCCAAGAGCAAUGCUGCUGGAAUUGGCGGUAACAAUAGUGGAAUUGGCUUGGGGAU